rnacentral:lncRNA from 1 species
GGACAUUUUGGCUGUAAGAAUAUUGGAAACAAAGGGGGGAAGCUGGUUUAAUCCAUGUAGGUUGCGUUGAGAAUUUCCUAGGAAAAGUAAGUUGUGCUUAGGAAGUAGGAAAGCAGUCAGGCCCCCGCUUCCCACAUACGGUCAAAAAGCAAACAUGAGAGUCUGCUAUAGUGAGAUGGAAAUGGCUAGCUUGCCUUUUUCUUGUCUAUUUCAUAGCCAAGGAUGAAGGAAAAACUGGACCUCAUUUUGGAUUUACUUUUGGGAUACACUCAUUAUUCCAGAGGAGGGUAAAAGGCUGAGAAGCUUAAGUUCUGCAGGCUGGAAAUCCAAGAUGAAGUCACCUGUAGUUCAGUGUCUGCGUCUAAGAGAGCACUUUGUUGCUGCACCCGCCAGAGGGAAGAAAUACUGUAUCUUCUCAUGAAGGAAGGAACCGAAGUAUGCCUUCAUGUCACUGCAGAGGUAUGAAAAGGAGAGCUCUCCUAGUUGUGAAAAAAGAAACAUGUUUUAUUGGGAGCUAAGUGGAAGGUUGAACAUGUGGGAAUAUCUGGGCAUGCACUGAAGACACCUUUUGCAUCUCCCCCAUCCACAUAGCAAAGUGAAUGUGGUUUGUGUCCAUUUAUGCAGGAUACUCUGGAAAACCAAACUGAAGCAAGGUUAACAUACAUUUUUAAAAGAAAACUAAAGGAAAACAACACAUACUUUAUUACCUAUCAAAGUAACCACUUCAUUAUAUUUUAGUGGAAGCUAUUAUUUAUUAUCGAAUUAUUUGCUUGGGCAGGAGGAUACAGGGUUUUUCCAUUUGGGUUGUAUAUGUUCCUCAUGAGAAAAGCUGAAGACAAAAUCUUACCCUUCUGCCCAAAGUCAAUUGAAUCAACAUGUUUACCUUGCUCCACGGAGCUGCUAACCUACUGGCUGGGUGUUGUGUGGCUUGGCAAUGGAGUUCUGCAUGACAGGAACAAUGGUUUUUAAGUGGACUAAUCAGAGCUAUUAAUGCAUAUGCAGUGAAGGCAGGAACUUUGCUACAUGCAGGGCUUAUCAUUUUGCUAAUAACAAUGCCUGGCACAGAUUAGCGAUGUGUUGAAAUAAAACAUAUUCUGGGAGAUAUAAGAUAGAGAAAGAGAGCAGCAUGUAGUAGAAAUAGAUGUCGAAAGAUGAAUUAAGAUGAUGCAUUAAGCUUGAAACGUGAGGCAGAGAAAGCUGUACAUAAGUUGAAGGCUUUGAGUUAAAAGACUAUAGGAAUUAGAUGAGUGGGGGCUAUGGAGAACAGAGAGAAUUUAGAGUGUGGACAAGUGUUCUAUGAGCAGAGACUGGGACUAGCCAAAACGUGAUGAUGGGCAGCUAGCUUGGAAAGAAUGCUUACAACGUGAAAAUUAUAUAUUUAUAAAAGGCCAUUACUUCUGUUAAAGAACAAUAGACCCCAGUGAAAAGAAAGGAAAUUGAAAAAUAGAGAAAAUGUGGAGAAAACUAGAAUCUCUAUAGACAGCGUCAAUGCAGCAUCAAUUAUAUGAACCACUUUUGAGCACAAAGAACUAUUGUUUUGACCUUGGAGGCAAUUUGGUCUUCAUUAGGUUUAGCUGUAGGAUAGUUGAUGUUCAUUAUUCCCUAUAACACUUGUGAUGGCAAAACCUUCACAAAUUUAUAUGAUCUAGGUAUGUUUUCAAUCCUUACAACCCAAAUAACCGAUCAUAACUCUCACUAUGUCAUUUGAAAAAAAAAAUGAUCAUCAGAAGUGUAAUUCAAUUAGCAAGUAUCAGUAGUGGAGUAUAAAUUAUUAUUGGUUAAUACUAAGUAUGAUUGAAAAAUCGUAGUAGAUGGAAAUAUGGGAAUCUUUAUUUUGGAUGAAUAAACUUUAUGCCUAAAACAUAUGUUUAUAAAAAAUACUUUGUGAAUAAACCCAUUGUCUAAUAUUUAAAAGAGUUGAAGUAUGCUAUUAUAAGAUCUUCCUUAAUUGAUGAAAUGAUGCAAAGCCAAUAAUAUUGCUCCACUUACUGAAGUAUAGAGAUGAAGAGAAAACUUUUUCUUUAUUCCAUGUUCUAUAUAAGUCAAGAACUAGAGCUCAAGAUUAAGAUUUUUGUUUUUUGUUUUUUUUCCAUUUCCCUGGGAACAGAGCAACAGUCUUUCUGGGUCUAAAACAUCCUUUUUUCAGUACACCCCACAGCAUCCUAUAGAAAUAUGUUGCAAUCAGUUGCCAAGUCACAUCCUAGCUUAAUGUCAGCAAUUUUCUUUCUGAACCAAUUUUGCACUCAGCAUUAAGAGGAAAUAUUGAAGGGAGACAUACCUUUUAUGUUUGUAAAAUUUAUACUUCUUGAGAUAAAAAAGCAACUAUAUCCAUUGUCGUGGGAUCUUGAGAAGAAAUAAGAAAAUGAAAUAUUAUAGAAAAUAUUAUAUUAUUUAAUUGUCCUGUUCUAAAACACUUUCUAAGCCUGCCUGUUUUUUUGCCAAAUUAAAUUAAUAUUUGGAUGUAGACAGCUUUUCAGAGUGGCAGUAUCAUAGUCAAUGAAGAUGACCUGAGGCACAGUUAUUGCUAAUUGGACAUAGAAACCACCUUCACUCAUAUAUAAAAAUUAUUAUGUGCUACACUAGAUAUUUCAGGAGAAUUGAUAAAAGAAAGACUGUUGUAUUCAUAUGCUUGUCUUCCUGGCUAGAGGAUCUGUUUUAAUUAAUCAGCUCAUGGAGUUUGGAAAAUAUUUAUAGUAUACAUAGCUGAGUGUUCAUGUAAAUUUUGAAUACAUUCAUACAUCUUUUUUUUAAAAAAAGAUUGAACUUCAAAACCAUUUUCUUACAUACUCAGUAGAAGUUGUUAUGAGCCAACAUUUUUUGUGAGCUAUACUAUUUUAAACAUCUAAAGUAAAUUAUUUGACAUAUAAAAAGACUUCUUCAUUUAAAAAUAUAUCUUUUAAAAAUAAUUUUACAAGUGAUGGCAUCUCAUUUUAGAAGAAGAGGCAUCAAUGACAGCAGUUACAGUAACUCGAUGCUGAAUAUGUUUUUAAAUACAAGAUGCUGUGUUCAGCAUUGUACAUACAUUAUCAAAUUUUAUUCUGAUAAUAUGCUGCAUGAUGUAUUAGGCUGGGUUCUCUCAGACAGAACCUACACGUAUACUUAUAUAUAUAUACACAUGCAUAUACAUACACAUACAGAGAGAGAGAAAGAGAGAGAGAGAGAGAUCUCUACAUUUAUUAGAGGAAUUGGAUCAUGCGAUUAUGGGGGCUGAGAAGUUCCAGGAUAGGUUGUCUGCAAGCUGGAGAACCAGGGAAGAGAGUAGAGUAGCUUUCUCCAAGUCCUGAAGCUUCAGAACUAGGGAAACUGAUGGUAUAACUCUCAGUCAGAGGCCAAUGGACUGAGAACUCAGACAGCCACUUUGCAACUCCUGGAAUCCCAAGGCCAGAGAGCCUGGAGUUUGGAUGUCCAAAAGCACCAGAAGGAGGGUGUCUUAGGUCCAGGAGAGAGUGAGCUUUCCUAUGCAUUUUUGUUUUAUCCAUACCCCUGACCAAUUGGAUGGUGCCCACCCGCAUUGAGGGUGGGUGUCCCUCUAUUAAAUAUUUUAACUAUAAUUUUAACUGUGAUAUAGGCACUGAAUUCUUGUUGCUAAUAAUCUGGUAAGAUCCAUCUGAACUAUGAAGUGAGUACCUGGAGGAACUCCUACAUUUUAGGCUUUCAAAGGUUACAGGCUUUUCGUGUGUGUGUGUGUGUGUGUGUGUGUGUGUG